CGAUCCUCCCUGGGAAAAGAUUGCACACUCUCAAUGUAACGGCCCCAACAAAUCAUCCCUGCUCAACUGCCAUGCUCAUCAUGAAUCUCAAAAUUUCACAGUGAAGGAUAUCGACAACCCCACUCACACCAUGAAAGUGAUGCCAAGACCCCCUGUCAACCAUGUCUGUUCUCCUUACUUUUUUCUCGAUUACGAGAACUUCAACAACACUCUGUUCCUGUAUAACGCGCUAAUGCAUAAAAUCAUCAUAUUCAAAGAUUGUCCUACAACCUCAGAUUUCCCUUCAAAAUGCAAGUUUAAAUAUGGGGAUGAUGUGUAUUAUUUUGAGGAGGAACAGAACAAAAAGGAGAUGCUCGACAAUUACCCACUGCUUGAGGAUUGCAAGGGACGUUUCGACGUGCCUGCUGCUGGUCCUCUGGAUCGUUACGAUGACACUGGUGACGGAGCUGGAGUUCUGGAAGAAGCUCUCAGUGAUGCGUUUGAGGUCAAAUAUGGUAUUCCUGAUGGUUGCACAAGAUGCAGAGAAACUGACAGAAGCUGCUUGACAAAUGAUUAUGGUUAUGGUUAUAAUGAAU
rnacentral:lncRNA from 1 species